rnacentral:rRNA from 1 species
AAGCUACUAAGAGCGAAUGGUGGAUGCCUUGACUGGUAAAGGCGAUGAAGGACGUACUAGACUGCGAUAAGCUACGGGGAGCUGUCAAGAAGCUUUGAUCCGUAGAUUUCCGAAUGGGGCAACCCAAUGUAUAGAGAUAUACAUUACCUAUAUAGGAGCGAACGAGGGGAAUUGAAACAUCUUAGUACCCUCAGGAAAAGAAAUCAAUAGAGAUUGCGUCAGUAGCGGCGAGCGAAAGCGCAAGAGGGCAAACCCAGUGCUUGCACUGGGGGUUGUAGGACUGCAAUGUGCAAGAGGUAAGUUUAGCAGAACAUUCUGGAAAGUAUAACCAUAGAGGGUGAUAGUCCCGUAUGCGAAAAACAAACCUUAGCUAGCAGUAUCCUGAGUAGGGCGGGACACGAGGAAUCCUGUCUGAAUCCGGGUCGACCACGAUCCAACCCUAAAUACUAAUACCAGAUCGAUAGUGCACAAGUACCGUGAGGGAAAGGUGAAAAGAACUGAGGUGAUCAGAGUGAAAUAGAACCUGAAACCAUUUGCUUACAAUCAUUCAGAGCCCUAUGUAGCAAUACAGGGUGAUGGACUGCCUUUUGCAUAAUGAGCCUGCGAGUUGUGGUGUCUGGCAAGGUUAAGCAAACGCGAAGCCGUAGCGAAAGCGAGUCUGAAUAGGGCGCUUAGUCAGAUGCUGCAGACCCGAAACGAAGUGAUCUAUCCAUGAGCAAGUUGAAGCUAGUGUAAGAACUAGUGGAGGACUGAACCCAUAGGCGUUGAAAAGCCCCGGGAUGACUUGUGGAUAGGGGUGAAAGGCCAAUCAAACUUCGUGAUAGCUGGUUCUCUCCGAAAUAUAUUUAGGUAUAGCGUUGUGUCGUAAUAUAAGGGGGUAGAGCACUGAAUGGGCUAGGGCAUACACCAAUGUACCAAACCCUAUCAAACUCCGAAUACCUUAUAUGUAAUCACAGCAGUCAGGCGGCGAGUGAUAAAAUCCGUCGUCAAGAGGGAAACAACCCAGACUACCAGCUAAGGUCCCUAAAUCUUACUUAAGUGGAAAACGAUGUGAAGUUACUUAAACAACCAGGAGGUUGGCUUAGAAGCAGCCAUCCUUUAAAGAAAGCGUAAUAGCUCACUGGUCUAGUGAUUUUGCGCGGAAAAUAUAACGGGGCUAAAGUAAGUACCGAAGCUGUAGACUUAGUUUACUAAGUGGUAGGAGAGCGUUCUAUUUGCGUCGAAGGUAUACCGGUAAGGAGUGCUGGAGCGAAUAGAAGUGAGCAUGCAGGCAUGAGUAGCGAUAAUUAAUGUGAGAAUCAUUAACGCCGUAAACCCAAGGUUUCCUACGCGAUGCUCGUCAUCGUAGGGUUAGUCGGGUCCUAAGUCGAGUCCGAAAGGGGUAGACGAUGGCAAAUUGGUUAAUAUUCCAAUACCAACAUUAGUGUGCGAUGGAAGGACGCUUAGGGCUAAGGGGGCUAGCGGAUGGAAGUGCUAGUCUAAGGUCGUAGGAGGUUAUACAGGCAAAUCCGUAUAACAAUACUCCGAGAACUGAAAGGCUUUUGAAGUCUUCGGAUAGAUAGAAGAACCCCUGAUGCCGUCGAGCCAAGAAAAGUUUCUAAGUUUAGCUAAUGUUGCCCGUACCGUAAACCGACACAGGUGGGUGGGAUGAGUAUUCUAAGGCGCGUGGAAGAACUCUCUUUAAGGAACUCUGCAAAAUAGCACCGUAUCUUCGGUAUAAGGUGUGGUUAGCUUUGUAUUAGGAUUUACUCCGAAAGCAAGGAAACUUACAACAAAGAGUCCCUCCCGACUGUUUACCAAAAACACAGCACUCUGCUAACUCGUAAGAGGAUGUAUAGGGUGUGACGCCUGCCCGGUGCUCGAAGGUUAAUUGAUGGGGUUAGCAUUAGCGAAGCUCUUGAUCGAAGCCCGAGUAAACGGCGGCCGUAACUAUAACGGUCCUAAGGUAGCGAAAUUCCUUGUCGGUUAAAUACCGACCUGCAUGAAUGGCGUAACGAGAUGGGAGCUGUCUCAAAGAGGGAUCCAGUGAAAUUGUAGUGGAGGUGAAAAUUCCUCCUACCCGCGGCAAGACGGAAAGACCCCGUGGACCUUUACUACAGCUUGACACUGCUACUUGGAUAAGAAUGUGCAGGAUAGGUGGGAGGCUUUGAGUAUAUGACGCCAGUUGUAUAUGAGCCAUUGUUGAGAUACCACUCUUUCUUAUUUGGGUAGCUAACCAGCUUGAGUUAUCCUCAAGUGGGACAAUGUCUGGUGGGUAGUUUGACUGGGGCGGUCGCCUCCCAAAUAAUAACGGAGGCUUACAAAGGUUGGCUCAGAACGGUUGGAAAUCGUUCGUAGAGUAUAAAGGUAUAAGCCAGCUUAACUGCAAGACAUACAAGUCAAGCAGAGACGAAAGUCGGUCUUAGUGAUCCGGUGGUUCUGUGUGGAAGGGCCAUCGCUCAAAGGAUAAAAGGUACCCCGGGGAUAACAGGCUGAUCUCCCCCAAGAGCUCACAUCGACGGGGAGGUUUGGCACCUCGAUGUCGGCUCAUCGCAUCCUGGGGCUGGAGCAGGUCCCAAGGGUAUGGCUGUUCGCCAUUUAAAGCGGUACGCGAGCUGGGUUCAGAACGUCGUGAGACAGUUCGGUCCCUAUCUGCCGUGGGCGUAAGAAGAUUGAAGAGAUUUGACCCUAGUACGAGAGGACCGGGUUGAACAAACCACUGGUGUAGCUGUUGUUCUGCCAAGAGCAUCGCAGCGUAGCUAAGUUUGGAAAGGAUAAACGCUGAAAGCAUCUAAGCGUGAAGCCAACUCUAAGAUGAAUCUUCUCUAAGCUCUCUAGAAGACUACUAGUUUGAUAGGCUGGGUGUGUAAUGGAUGAAAGUCCUUUAGCUGACCAGUACUAAUAGAGCGUUUGGCUUAUCU